UUAUCGGCUCGGCUUUUCAUGUCUGCUCGUCUAUAAAAUGAGGAUAUUUGUGCAUAUUUGACAAGGGUUCCGUGAGGGGUGAGACAAGGUAAUUUGUUAUGAAAGUACUUGGUAAAGUAGAAGGGGCUGUCCAGAUGCUGCAUCUCAUUUACGUGAGUCAGUAGUAAAAACUUACUUAAAAACACUGUGUACACAAAUAGGGGACGUGUGCUUUGGGCUUCGGUGGGGGCGGGAUUAGUCCCCACUCCUAACGGGGCUUGGGCUUGUCAGGUGUGCCGAUGGGCGAGGGAAGGCCUUGGGAGUUCCAGAGUGGGUGGGGUGGGUGUCAUGCCCCACUCCCCGGGCUGUGACAGAGACCCUGGCCUGCAGUCCCGCUCCCGCCAUGCCUCCUGCCGGAGACCGGCCCUCACUGGAGGCUCCUGGAGGGACGAGGACAGCAGGCCUGCCUGCGAGGGCCCCCAGGGAUGGCUGUCCCAGAGCUCAGCGGCCAGAAUCUCCUGGGCCCGAGCUGGUUGCAGGGCAGAGAGGAUGGAUGGAUGGGCGGACUCCAGCGUGAAGCUUGUGUUGCUCGUCUUGGCCAAGAGCAGAGUUUACUGGGAAAGAAGAGUUCCUGCCGUUUUCUAAUUUGUUGCUCGCUCGGUUCUGUGUGCCAGGGAAAAGGGAGGAGCCCGUGUUGGGCUGGAGUGGGGAGGGGGAGGCUGCACACGGCAUCGGAGGGCCCCGGGGCGCGUCUCCUGCGGAGAACUCUGAGGGCAGCUGAGAGGGCGAAGCGCUACCCGGCCCUCAGCAUUGUCUGGCCCCGGAGACAUCCGGAAGAGGCCCCAGACGCUGCCGCGUGUGUUGUUCCUGUGUUUGUCGUCCGUCCCUGGACGCGCUGGUGCCCUGCAUGCUCGGGGGUGCAGGGUCUGUGAGAUUUCAUCCAGGCCCUGAGAAGCUUCCUAGCAGUGAGGCUGUUUUAUAACUGUUCUCAAAUCACGUUAGCUCUGGAAGCUAUUUUAGGAACGCCUUUGGUUGUGAACCAUAUCUAACAUUUACUUUUGAUUCUUUCCCUCAUGUCCUGGAUUCUGUAGCAGCAUCCACAAACAGUGUACCCGGCAUGGUCAUAGGUGCUGGAGGUGCUUAGUACAAUCAGGAGAUAUUGGUCAAAGCUCAUUAAUUCACUAGCAUCAGUCCUUCUCCAAAGGACUCCUGGCCUCCUGCUAUCACCACUGCUGCCCGCGGGUCAGAGGGACCCUGAGCUUCUGUCUGAGUGGGCUGAGAGGUGGAAGUCUCUGCUGCCUCCCUGUGGGCCUGUGUGUACUCCAGGGCAGUGGGAGCCGCAGCCAGCUGGGAGGCCCUGAGGGUCUGCACGCCCGCUUCCCUCCCACCUCCAGGCUGCGGCUGCCCCCCUUCCUCCUUUUCUGCUGCAGCAUGGACAGGUAAGGGCAGCGUCUUGCUCUUCUAUAGUUUAGCCUUGGGAGCUGUCAGAGAUUUGGUCUUUGACUUGCUGGGGAGGAUGAGCUAGCACGGUGGCAGCCUUCCGUCCCAGGGGUGAGUUAACUGAUUUCUGUCUCCUUUUGUGCCUCACGCACGGCUGCAGGGAAAAGCGACCCAUGCCCACGCCUCCAGGGCUCGCAGCUGGGUCCCUGCUUUUAGCCCAGAGGAGAGGAGAGUGGCGCGUUUGUGGCACCGUAGGUUACUUGUCCCUUUGAAAGUGCUGGGGGACCCCUUCUAGAAGCUGGAGUCAGGAGAGUGAGUUUGUGUUUGAUAAGUCCAGAUCAAAGGGAGGAGAGAGUGGCAGAAACCUCAGAGAGGUGUGGUGGGCGGGGAGGGGACUUGGAUCCUGCGGGCCCAUUCUGGUGUUUGCCCGGGACUUCGGGAGGCUCCGACCGUCUGCUUCACCGGCCCACACGUAUGGAUUCAGUGCUGCUUGGAACAUCGCUUCAGGAGAGGAGAGAAGCAUUCUAAAGCCUUCUGGGGUCCUGGAAAGCUCCUCAGUGGACUCAUCGAGGCGUGGCGGCAGAUCAGCAGGCCCUGGUGCUUGCUGGCCUUUGGAGAAAGGCAGGCUGGCAUCGCUGCUCGGAGCGCCUGUGCUGGAGCCCAGCCUGGGGCCGUGCUCUGCAUGGGUCCUGGAGGGCCUGAGCGUCUGCUCCUCUCCGAGGGAGAAACUUCGACCCCAUCCUCUGCAGAACCCACAGGACUGCAGGCCCAGGUGCACUCUGCGGGCUGGCGGCUGCCAGGCUCCGCUCCCCAUCUGCGUCUGCCUCUGCGUCACCCCUGCCAGGACCCGCCCUCCGGCACAGCCUGUCCCAGCCCUUGUCUCUUGGAUUUUCACUUGGCACCCGGCACUGCAUUGUGUCCUUGGAGUGUUUGUUGUCGCUGCUGGGCCUUGU